rnacentral:lncRNA from 1 species
ACAUUUAAUUUUAGGACUUCUCUGUAAGUCUUAACAUGUAUUCCUUGUCUCCAGGAGAAAAAUAGGUUUGGGGGCUUUCUAAAGCUCUGAGAGACACAGGACUGAAGAUGGUUUGUGAUAGGUAGCUGUCUCCUGCUGCCCUAGGCUGCCAGACUAGAGGGCCUGCUGCUCUAUUCCAAAGGUAGCACGUUUGAAUGGGUGGGUUUGGUGUGGGCUACAUUGCAUGCCAGUACAUGAGCCCCACAUCCUAGGAGGCAGCGGUUCCCUGCCUUAUGUCUCUCUGCCACAAAAGACACUGAUGAGGGCCAGCUCAGCUCUUGUUCACACACAUUCUUUCAGAACCCAGAGACCGUGACACAUGGGUCUUCAAAUAGCCACUCGUCUGCAAGACCCUGAAGGAGUCACUAAAGAAUCCUCACCUGGGGACCCCUAAGCUAACCUGUAAUCCUGCUUCAGAGCAUGGCUGCCGACCAGGCUGGCUUUUAUCUUUAAACUUAGCAGGCUGUCAUGUCAUCCUGUCCAGUGAAUGCAGAAUGACCAUGGGAGCUGGCUCCUAGAGUCCCCUGGAAGUCCUCAUUUAAACUUGUUCUGAAGGGAGAAGCAACAUACUCUUUGUUAUUUGAUUUGAUUUCAAGAUAUGAUCCAACUAACAGCUCAUAAGUUUCUAAGGAAUAAAUGGGGUGUACCUUCAAGAUUCAAACUGUCAACUAUGUCUUGCUUGGUCUCCUUCACUUAUCAAAAAAAAAAAAAAGUUCAAUGAUGUAUAAGGUGAUACUGAAGAUAGCCAUGAAUAUGUUUUUGUUUUGGGGGUUAACACUUGCUAUGAAGGCUGGUGACACAAAUUCGAUCCCCGAGUCCUAUAUAAUGGAAGGAGAAGAAUUCUACAGGUUGUUUUCUGAUACACGUACACACACACACACAUCAAUAAAUGUCAUAAUUAGAAAAAAUAUUCUGAGCAUCAUAUUAUGUAGAGGAUAAGCAGAGCACUGUGCAGCUUUAGAAAAGGAGGGUCAGAUAGAAUUUAGCCCGCGUCUCAGAGGGAUGACCUCAGUGAAUUUCCCGUGGCAGCAGAAAAGCUUGUCUCGACUUCCAGUAAUAGAAAACCAGGCAAUUUGAUUAUCUGAUUUGCCAGAAAUGUUAAUGGAAUUCCAGGGCAUUUGUCCUGUUUUAUGUGCAAAUGAAAGUCUGAAAAAUAUUAGAAGGAUACUACACUUCUCAGGGGCCUCCCUUCUGUAUCUCAGAAGGUGAUGAGCGAGGACCUGCUGUGAUGAAGUUCAUUAGAUGUGCUGCGAAGGGCAGAUGAACAGAGCUUGGAAUCGCCGUAUUUCUCAGCCCGUCCUUCAGGGCGCUCUUAGCAUGGAGGAGAGUGAUUUACUCUCUGGAGCUAGGACUUCCACCAGCAUGCAUCACGUUUAAUUUGAUGGUCUGUACUAUCAGAAAUAACUAAUAUCUGUGUUCUUUCCUCUCAGAGAGCAAUCAAUUAUAGAUGUGCUAGAAUAUUUUGGCUUCAAAACAAAAGGAUUCAGAAGUUUAAUAAUAAAAAAAAAAGUCUCAGGCCUUCCAUCGGUGCCUUUUUAUUAUGUUGAACAUUUUAGAUAGCAAGAUUGGAAUAUAUAAAUAGUAGAUGGUGAGAUUAAAAUUAUAAUGUCUAACAAACUUAAGAAAAAAUGUUUUAAUUUGCUGUGAGUUCAUUUUAUGGUGCCCAGUGCCUCAUCAAAAUGCUACAUAAUUACAACAAGCAAAAACCCAGCUAGCUCUCCAUAGACAGGCCUUAAGCGCCAAGCUCUAUCUGCCGAUUAAUGGGGAGUCCUAAGACAGCAAUGAUUUUUUUAAAGAGCCUUCUUUAAUUGACAGUUCUCAACCACGGGUCUUAAUGUCCUUCUUAAGCGCGACGUAGAAACAGCCUGCUGGCUUCCGAGUGCCACUUCUUGAUUCAGGAACUUUCCAGUGUUUCGAAGCAGGCUGUUUACUGCAAUCCAUUGGAGGGAAUCAUCUUGAAAAUAGCAUGUUACACACGGGGAACUAGCAUUGCCAAGGAGCCGCCAAGCAUCAGAAGGCAAGCUGUGUGCUUCAGCCACCGCUCCAUGAAACUGGGCUUGCUUGAGCCAGCUGCUCAGUGGCUGCAGUCUGUCCCAUGCUCCCUACUCCAGUGCCCACAACACUGUUGGCCUUAAACACUAAUCCUCACAUUGUUUGGCCAUCGUUAACACUUGGCAUUUAUACUUAAGUAAUCCAUUUUCCCCCUCGGAAAAGCUUGGAAGCAAGGCCAGAACUUGGUUCCCACCCAUCCCUGUUUGAAGUUUACUGCACAGUACAUGAAACUUUCCCAACUUGGGUCAUGCCCGUGAUAUCAGACAGACCAGUCAGCUUGGUGGGGGAGGAUGAUUGGCAGCCAGGUAGUCAGAGCAGCUGAUCGAAGCUCUAUUUUUAAACCAUUUGUUAGGCUGUUGUAGACAGAGCUUUAUUGCCCUGGGAAGGAUUUUUUUUUUUAAACUCGCCCCACUCAGUCUUUCCAUCAUUUUACAUCGUGAGUCACUCACACGGUCAUCAGUCACCACCCUGACGUUCAGAAAUUACAACCUGCCUUCCACAAGGAUUGGCGCAGAAUUCUCCCUCAGGCUCCCUGCGUGCGAGAUGUACUCUUCUCUGUAGGGGGAAAGAACCCCCCAGGCCUUGUAGGAGGGCAGUGGGCAGCAUGAGCCUAAGAGGCAAACACAGCUACAGUGACAGAAUGCGAUCUGUCACUGGUGAUAAGACGAUGGGCUGAAGGAUCAGAACUCCACGGAGUUUAUGAGAGAGCACUUGUCCAGGAGUUUGAAAGUCCAAAUCAGACAUCUAGAGAGAAAAGACAAUCUAAGCCCUUAUACCAGCAAUCCUUUUUGUCUCCUAAGAGUGCCAUCCCUUGUCAAGAUCCAGUACCAGGAGUAAGCGACCUGUGCCUUUUACAAUAGCAUCUAUUUGAAAAUGCAGUUGCCCCUGGUUUCCCAAGCCUGGUAGCACUCUGAAUAGCUGGAACUUCAAGCCGAGGUGGCUUCACACCAAAUGACAUACUGGCUGCUUACCUGUGACAUAAUACUAGGAUGAGGAUUUGCCGACGACUAUUUUUGCAGUCUAACCUUGGGCUGGACCUAAGUCUAUAAACUGUAUGAUGUCUGUUUUGUUUGUAAAUGCCAAUUAAAGAAAGCUCAGCCGUUUGCUUUUUGUUGUAAGAUUUCUCUUUUGUGUACUUCUGUUUGCAGGCAGUAGGUCUGGCACGAUUUGGAACAGCCUUUCUUCAGCUUGGCUUCAAUUGUAUGCUUUUAUAGAGUGUGGCAUGCUCUGUCACUAAAAACUUUGUGUAAAGAAUGAUGUAAAUAUUUUGUUAAUAAAAUACUAUGUUUACAG